rnacentral:rRNA from 1 species
UAAGCAAGGUGUGAAUGGUACGGCUCAACCGUAUAACAUACUUUGAACUGGUAAGCUAGAGGAUGAGAGAGGUUAUUGGAAUUUCUAGUGUAGGAGUGAAAUCCGUAGAUAUUAGAAGGAACACCGAUGGCGUAGGCAGAUAACUGGCUCAUUCCUGACGCUCAGACACGAAAGCAUGGGUAGCAAACGGGAUUAGAUACCCCGGUAGUCCAUGCCCUAAACUAUGGAUGCUA